UUUCUAUUUAGUCCCUGAAGAAGCCGUAAUUAUUCUACACAGACCAAAAAUGAAAUACUCAAAAGAAAAAGAGUCUGAUCGGUCAUAUGAUGCUGUAGAUCGAGUGGAGUUACAGGUCACACAACAGUGAGGAUAUAUAGCGGGGAGUGAUGAAUCGAGUAGGCGCUGGAAAGUCCAAUGAGUAACUCCGACGAGGAGUAGAAGGGAACUAGAUUUUCCGAUGAGACCGGGGGUUUGGCGGAAACCGGUGGCCUCGGCAAGGGACCAUUGCACUUUUGAAGAUAAGGUCGAAUAUGGCAAAUGUGAAAGGUUAAUUGGGGGACGAGGUUUCCAGGUAUAUAUAUAUAUAUAUAUUCCUACGUAUAUUCAUUGUAUUCUUAUCAGGUGGAAAGAUCUGAGCUUGCAUUUCAUCUUCAUCUGCAUUGGAUGUUUUUCUACUUUCGAUUAGUUUGUGUGGCUAUCAGCUUAGACUCUCUAGGUAAUUCACAAUUUUAUUCUUCCUUGCAUGCAUAUAUAUACAUAUAUAUGCACAUACAUACAAAAAAAAAAAUUGAGUGUAG
rnacentral:lncRNA from 1 species